rnacentral:antisense_RNA from 1 species
GCUCUAUUCCAGAAGCAGUGUGGAGCACAAAGAAUCCCUAAUCCCUGACAUUAAGAAAGAAGAAAAAUAUUCCUAGGACGAUCCUGGAGAGCAAAGGUCAUUAGCAGUCACUUGACUUUCCUUGGAUUUCUCAACUGCAGUAGUCACACGGUCUGCUGAAAAUGAAUUCUCUUUAUUUUCAUCUGAUUUCAAGGAAUUAUGGUUUUCAGUGAUUUCUUCAUUUGGAUCUAUUUUGAGACAGAGUAAUAGCAUUAAAACCCCCUUCUGAAUUAAUAAGGUAAGAUGGGCUUAAAAUCACCCAAUUCAAUUCACUAUUGGAUUCUUUGGAGCUGUUAAUCUAUUCAGUGAAAAGAACAAGAACUUUGGAGCUCAAGAUUUAACUAUGGCUCCAUCACUGACCUUGAUAUUUUAUGGGUGCAAAGGAAAUUAUAUGUCAAAAGCAAUGGAGAGAAAACAUUUGAGAAAAUGGAAGAAAUGCUGAGACACUGGAGUCUACCCUGAAAGAUAAAGUUUCACCUGAGGAGAUCUGCAAAUUAGUAGCUUUUUGCCAGAAGGCAUUCUCCAAUCUAUGCA